rnacentral:lncRNA from 1 species
AUGCUUACAUGUGUAUAUGUAUGUGCAGAUAAACAUAUCUAUCUCAAUUUUGGGGAGAUCUUAUUACCAAAUGUCAGUUCAGUGAAAAGACUCACAUGUGAGAUAGUGAUAAUUAUGUUUAGUGAGCAGGAAGCCACACAAGAACCAGACCUACUGAAAUCUCAUUUCCUAUCAAUUUCUGUCCGCGUAACUACGUAUUCCCUCCACCUUCACCUGCAAGAGCACUGGCCUGCUCUGCAGCCCCUCUGUGGUGUGUUUUCUCAAACAACUCCCCCCUCAUGUCCCUUAUGCCCCUUUUUUUUUUUUUUUUUGUCCUCAGCUUCCUACUAUGUGCAAGGCAAGGAAAAGGCUGCACUAAUGCUGGUCCUGCAGAGCGGGGAUGCCAACUGGCUGAGCCCCUCUGCUGUGGGGCUGCGUGGCAGGACAAAUGGAACAGGACUUGGCUCCAGGAAAGACCAUUAGUUAAGUUCAUAUCCAAGGAUACACCUGUAUAUCCUCUUAGAAACCAGGGAAAACCAAAGUCUGCGGAUGAAGGAAGACACAGAGGCAUUUUUAAGGGACAAAUAGAGGUGAUGGUGGGACAGAAGGAGGCAGUGACACGUAAUCCCCUUCUGGGACUUGCUAAGGACUGUAGACGUGCAAUGGUCACACCUGCCAGCUCACCCAUGUGUCCUGGGGCUUGUUAAUGAGCCCUUUGCUAGAGAUGUAGCUCUCAUUCUGUCAGGAGCUGGAGAGCUUCAGCCCAUUUUCUUCAGUAGUGUGGCUCUCAGUCAUCAGUCACAUCACUCUAAGAAUAAAAUUACAUCCAAAUUAACCCUUCCGUCA